ACAACCCUGCUUAUUAUUCCACAAAAUCAACAUAUCAUCAGUGAAUAGAUAUAUUUAACAAAACAUAAUCGUAACGUUCCGUUAUAGUUGCAAGAAGAUAUAGAAAAUUAUACGAGAGUACGACUCGAUCCAAAUGCAUCGACUGAAGAAAGAUGCACACCUCGGAUAUUUAACUGUCAACCUGAUAGACAAUAUGCUCAUGUUAAACCGACGCGUCCAGUAGUUCUGAAGCGCCAGAAAAUAGAAACCUUAAACGAAAUCCUACAAACUGAAACAGUAAUCGAUAGUAGCAUGGAAUGUGAAUCCACAGAAUCUAUUACAAUCGAGUCGUUGCAUAUUGACACCAACAUUGAUGAUUUUUCGACCUUCUCAGUUUCCUCGUUGACGAGCAUCGAUACAGCAUACACGCCUUUAUUGUUUACUCUGUGCUCAGGAUAAACCUUUCCUCUGAUAUGGCAUAAGCUUUUUUCCCGUUUCAAUUCAACAUAUCCAACUGCUGGAUCGCCGUUAGUUUUCACCUUCAGCUCUAUCGAAAUGUACAUCGACAAGAUGACAAGAGUGUAUUAAAGGUUAUGUCAUGUGUUGUAUAUAAUACUCAAAUUAAUAUACUUUGAUAUAUCGUUUCAUACUGUAUCUUGUAUCUGUCUAUAAAUUUUAUAAUUUAUUUCCUGUUAUUACAAGUUUUUAAAAAUA